UGGGGACUGUUGUGGGGUGGGGGGAAGGGGGAGGGAUAGCAUUAGGAUAUAUACCUAAUGCUAAAUGACGAGUUAAUGGGUGCAGCACACCAACAUGGCACAUGUCUACAUAUGUAACAAACCUGCAUAUUGUGCACAUGUACCCUAAAACUUAAAGUAUAAUAAUAAUAAAAUUUUUUUAAAAAAGCAAGUUGAAAAAAUGUGUUGAGUGUGCGCUUGUUUGUAAAAUAAAAUGGGUGUGUGUGUGUGUGUGUGUGUGUGUGUGUGUGUGUAGUCAUGUACCCCUUAAUGACAUUUUGGUCAACAGCAAACUGCACAUAUGGCAGUAGUCCCACAAAAUGAUAGUACCAUAUUUUUACUGUGCCUUUUCUAUGUUUAGAUACACAAAUACCAAGGUGUUUCAAUUGUCUACAGUAUGCAGUACAGUAACAUAGUAUACAGGUUUGUAGCCUAGGGGCAGUAGGCUCUACCAUCUAGGUUUGUGGUGUUCACACAAUGACAAAAUCGCCUAAUGAUGCAUUUAUCAGAACGAAUCCACAUUUUUAAGUGACACAUGAUUGUGUGUGUGCAUGUAUGUGUAUAUAUAUGUGUGCAUGUACAUAUAUAUGUAUAUAUAUGCAUGCUUAUAUAUGUGCAGAAAUGUGUAGCAAAAGAGCACUAUAAACUAUUAGACUAUACACAACAGUUGUCACUGAGGAGGGGGAUCAUAAGGGAAGAAAAGUUACUUUUCAUUGUAUACGCUUGGCUAUUUGAAUUUUACUAUCAUCACCACUUCCACAGCAAACUUUUCAAAGAAUAGGAAAGUGUGUGUAUAUAUAAACCAUCAAGAAAUUGUGAAAAUAUGAACCACUACAGAACAGAAGGCUCUAGGGCCAUUUCUCAGGUUGACUGGGCCAGUAAAUAUUCCAACACAUUUGAACCCCUGUUUACAUGAGAUUUGUUGUGAGAACCCAAUGGGAUUUUAUUUUAUAAAUGAGUAAAUGAAUGAAUGAAAUGUGUUCUCAUUUUUGCAAAUCUGAUCAUUCCUCCCCUGGCUAAGGAUCCAGUUAACUAGUAUCAUAUUACUGCGGAACUUAAAUUCUUUCAGAGCUUUUCCAGCCAAGCUCAUACAUACAGGCAUAACAAUGUUUCCUUAUGUGUCAUUAGAAUGAGUGUUGUGCUAAACAAACGUACUUAGCAGUUUCAGCCUAGGGAGCAAGUGACCCAUGACUCUUUAGACCAACAAAGGAAAGGGAGUUGCUGUAUGUCAUUCUGUUCAUGUUGAAUUUUCUCCAUGAUUCAUUUACAAUAAAGGUAGGAGUAGAGAAUAUACAAGGAAUAGCCAGCAUGGCCUGCUUUCCUGAUGUCUUCACUGUGGCCCAUUUGGAAAUCUCAGCUACAGAAGCAGGGUCACAGACAUGUUAUGGGAACCCUUAAUGAUAAAGGCUGUAGUUCUUGUACUGUACUUGAAGGUCCUCUUCUUCAUGUCCUGUUUUGAGAUGUAUGAUUCUUAGGCUACAGAAAAAGGGAUCUACUUAAUAAAAUGAGCCAAAGGUCAAGUGACACACUUCAUUUUCCAUCUAAAAUCUAAACCUCCAAAAGAACAAAAUAGGAACCAUCCCCCAAUUGACUUGAAAUGAAUAUAUUUUGUCCAAGUCCAGGCUCUGUGGGGCUGUGACCAGUGCACACAUGUGUGUGUACCUGCACACUUGGUUCAUGAAGAGUGUCCUGCAGAGGAAUGAUGGCCCCAUUAAAGAAGAGCAAGCUUACCAGCUGCGCCAGUUUUAAAAACUCAACGAAGACAUCACUUCUCAA
rnacentral:lncRNA from 10 species